ensembl:misc_RNA Metazoa_SRP Metazoan signal recognition particle RNA
GCUGGGCGUGGUGGCUCAUGCCUGUAAUCCCAGCACUUUGGGAGGCUGAGGCGGGAGGAUCACCUGAGGUCAGGAGUUUGAGACCAGCCUGGCCAACAUGGUGAAACUCUGUCUCUU